CAGUCGCCGCGGUAAUACGUAGGUGGCGAGCGUUGUCCGGAAUUAUUGGGCGUAAAGGGAGCGCAGGCGGACAUAUAAGUCCAUCUUAAAAGUGCGGGGCUCAACCCCGUGAGGGGAUGGAAACUGUAUGCCUUGAGUGCAGGAGAGGAAAGCGGAAUUCCCAGUGUAGCGGUGAAAUGCGUAGAUAUUGGGAGGAACACCAGUGGCGAAGGCGGCUUUCUGGACUGCAACUGACGCUGAGGCUCGAAAGCCAGGGGAGCGAACGGGAUUAGAGACCCCCGUAGUCCCUGUCUCUUAUACA
rnacentral:rRNA from 1 species